UCCGGUUCAAUAGUAUGAAAGUA
rnacentral:snRNA from 1 species